CCUGGUAGAGCAGACUUGGAGAAAGAGAAGGCAUUUAGUCUCCUGGACCUUAGCAAGGAGAUUGGCUUUGACUUGUGUUUUCGUCUACUCAUUCUCUUCCUAUCCUGCUUUUCUCCAGCAAUAAGCCCUCCGUGUAUGGUGGAUUUAGGGCUUCCCUGGACUCAGCAUGUGAACACCUGGAAUUGAGGACUCUAGCCUAACUUCUCGGAUCCUUAUCUCUUUGGUAUGAACCACCCUCCUGCUUCAAGCUGUGGCAGUCUGAACACAUUGCUGAAGCCCUAGGGCCGUGUUAGCUCCAACUACUUGCCAAGGACUGUCUGAGGGGAAGCUGACUGCGGAGGAGAGCUGUCCGGAGACCUACCUGCAGCUGUCAGGUUUGGGCUCAGUCCUCAUCCUUCCUGGGAAGCUUGCUUUGCCUGUGGGUUCCAAAAAUACCCAGAAUUCUGCAAACAUUUUGCAUCAUCAAGAAACAGAACCUUCGCUCGGUAUCUUACAACAGCUUUGUAAUUGUUGUUUCUGCCCCAUCCAAAUCACUCCCUACAUUUAAACAGAGUGGAGUUUUACCCCUUUAUUUUUUUCAAUUUCUUUUUUUUAAUAUUUAUUUAUUAUGUAUACAAUAUUUGGUUUGUGUGUAUGCCUGCAGGCCAGAAGAGAGCACCAGCCCUCAUUACAGAUGGUUGUGAGCCACCAUGUGGUUGCUGGGAAUUGAACUCAGGACCUUUGGAAGAGCAGGCAAUGCUCUUAACCACUGAGCCAUCUCUCCAGCCCUACCCCUUAGUUUUUAAAAGAUAAACUCUGACUGUGUGUGGUCCCAUGUCUAAACCCUUCAAUGGCUACUGUCGUCCUUUAGAUAAAACCUAAGACCCUAAGCUUGACCUGCCGCUUGCUCUGGCUCCUGCUGACCUCCCCAAAGGCAGUAGUAACAUUCUCCGCAUCUUUUCACUCUCCACCCUUCCUCUCCAGCUCGGAGUCUUCACACAAAUCCUUUAUCUAUGCAUGCAUAAGAGUAUACGCAUAGAUCUGUAUGCAGACGCAUGAGUUACUUUACUAUUGCUGCGAUAGAAGACAGAGCUCAUUUUGGCUUCCAGUUUGAGGGAUGGGACUCUGAUGGUGAACUCCAGCAGAAGGCACGGGUACAGGAACAGGGAGGUGAAAACUCACGGCUGGAACUGCAAGUGAGAAAACAGAGCUGGAAUUGCGAGGCCUUAAGAGCUCACAGACAGCACGUGGUGGCACGUGUCCAUCCUCCAGCAAGGCCACACCUCCUAAUUUCCCCAAACAGUAUGAUCAGCUGAGGACCAAGUAUUCAAAAGCCCAAGACUGUGGGGACAUUUCUCAUUCAAAUCACCACAAUGGACAUGUAUGAAAACUGACUGCCAUGACUGCAUUCAUAACUCAUAUGAUAC